CCGCCGCCCCGCGCCCCGCGGACCCCGACCGGCCGGCGGAGGAGGGGGCGCUCACCGUCGCCCUCCGCCCCGGCCCCCGCGGCGCCGCGGGGCGCGGGGGGGUGGGGGUGGGGGUGGGGGUGGGGGUGGCGGGGAGGGCCCGGAAGAUCUGAUGUGAAUGAGGCCGAGGCUCUGCGCCCAGAAACUCAUUCAUUCGAGCAGAUUUGUUGGGCGCCGGGCACCCGCGGGUGAAUGGGACAGGCGGUCCCGGCCCUCCCCGCGGCAAGAUGUCACCUGUCUGGUGGGGGUACCUCCCCUGGGGGGGGUGCGGGAAGGUGACCUCCAAGCCCUGAGGACGGAGGGGGCGAUUGGGACCGCCUAUUCCAGGCCUGGGAGACCUGAGCCCGAGGGGGAACCCCUCUCAGUGCACAGGGCCGCAGGCGCAGGGGCUACAAUCUGAAACUACAGGGAAGGGCCAGGGCCAGAGGGCACCCGCCUGCCGUCUCAGCAAGGAGCUGGGUGGGCCUCAGGGCUUUAAGCAGAGGGGUGACAGGGGCAGAUCUGCUUUCUCUACUUCUCUGGCCUCCAGGCGGGGGUUGCAGGUGGCUUCCCCUGCAGGGGUCCUCCAGGCCGAGCUGAGGCUGAGGCCAGUGGCCAAGGCUCCACCCGGAUGGAGAGAGGCGAGAGAGAGUGCCCGUGGCCUUCCCUGGCCACCCCAUCUACAGUGUCAGUGUGUGGGGACCUUUCCUGCCUCCUAACCAGCUGUAUCCUUUUCUCCUUUGCAAGCCCUGCAGACCUAGUCUCCUUUUCAUUGGUUGUGAUGAUUCUUUGUGUGUCUCAUCCCCUGUAUUGUGAGCCGCCUGAGGACAGGGUUCUCAUUUGUGGUUGUACCUGUAACACCUAGAAGGCACUUGACUUGUCGUGGUCACUCAGCAAACCUCUGUGAUGAGAAAGAAGGUGCUGAGGGUGGACAGAGCAUGGGAGGAAGAGGCAAGGAUGAGGUGGUGGGCAGGGUUUCUUUUUCUCCCCACUUUGGCACAGACCCCAAGGGGUCCAGAGUCCACAGAGGAACUGAGGAGACAGAGAAAGCCUGACCAGGGCUGCGAGUGCUUCUCAGCCCCCAGAUGCCGCCUCCUACCUCCAAACAGGGCCCAUUCCCGAUUCCUCUCCCUAGAUGGCCUCCCCUGGAUGGAGCCUCAGACCGCAGGAAGCCUUCAGAUGGGCACAUACUUGCCAGCUGGAAGGAACCCAUUCCUACCCAUUCUGCAAGGAAUUGGGAGGAAGGCCUGGAGAAGGGGGAGCAGUGCCCAGACCCUGCCCUGGAGCCCCAAGGCCCACAUGUGGCCUCGCAGGGGCUUGGAGAGCCAGGGAGAGGUGGGAGGUAGCCCAGGGAAGGUGCCUGCCUGA
rnacentral:lncRNA from 1 species